rnacentral:misc_RNA from 1 species
GGGGAAUCUCAGAGCUGCCUGACACAAUAAGUAAUCCACUUCAAGCAGGUACCUACCUACUGCUAGAAGCAACUGGAGUUGGAAUGGUACAGGAAAAUGUUAACUUGAGCUAUCUUGCAAUGAAUAUUGCUAAAAGAGCAGAGGUUCAGGCCAAACACAAGCAGAAGCUUUUCGAUCCCUCCAAAAUAAGUAAAACCAAAAAGUCCAUGUCUUACCU